rnacentral:ribozyme from 13 species
UUUUGUUUUUUUUUUUUUCCCGUUUGUAAUUGUUUGUAAUUAUUUUUUAACGAAAAAUCAUACAGCGAGGAAGGUC